rnacentral:misc_RNA from 1 species
CAGAGAGGAGCUCCGCGCUCCAGGGGGUUCGCCUCCGCCUCUCAACCCUGUGAAAUCAAUACCUUUGUUGCUUUGGCAGGCCUUGGGGUCAUGCUCAUGCCGGGCCUUCGCCCGGCGAGUGCCUGCCAGAAGCCCAACCAAAACUCUUUUAAUCAUGUCGUCAGAGUAAACAUACAAAUAAAGCA